rnacentral:rRNA from 1 species
UACGUAGGGAGCAAGCGUUGUCCGGAAUCAUUGGGCGUAAAGCGCGCGUAGGUGGCCACAUAAGUCCGUUGUGAAAGUCAAAGGCUCAACCUUUGAAAGCCGAUGGAUACUGUGUGGCUAGAGUACGGAAGAGGCGAGUGGAAUUCCUGGUGUAGCGGUGGAAUGCGCAGAUAUCGGGAGGAACACCUAUGGCGAAGGCAGCUCGCUGGGACGUUACUGACGCUGAGACGCGAAAGCGUGGGGAGCAAACAGG